rnacentral:rRNA from 1 species
UACCAGCACCCCGAGUGGUCGGGACGAUUAUUGGGCCUAAAGCAUCCGUAGCCGGCCUUACAAGUCCCCCGUUAAAUCCAACUGCUUAACAGAUGGGCUGCGGAGGAUACUAUAAGACUAGGAGGCAGGAGAGGCAAGCGGUACUCAGUGGGUAGGGGUAAAAUCCGUUGAUCCAUUGAAGACCACCAGUGGCGAAGGCAGCCCCCUGGGUUAACACUGACGCUCAGGCACGAAAGCGUGGGGAGCAAACAGG